CCCUCGCCGCGGCUGAGCUGCAGAAAGGCGCCCGCCCCACUGGACCCCAGGGAAAAGUCCACCAGCACUCCAGGUAGGAGGCUGGGUGGACAUUUGUUUUUAAUUGAAAAUAUAAUAAUUUGUUCUUGUGUGUGAUUGUGUGUAUGUGAGUGUGUGUGUGUGUCAGUGAGUGUGUCAGUGAGUGUGUCAGUGAGUGUGUCUGUGUGUGUGUGUGUGUGUGUCAGUGAGUGUGAGUGUCUGUGUGUGAGUGAGUGCGUGUGUCAGUGAGUGAGUGUGUC